rnacentral:rRNA from 1 species
UACGUAGGCAGCAAGCGUUGUUCGGAGUUACUGGGCGUAAAGGGUGCGUAGGCGGCUAUUUAAGUUUGGUGUGAAAUCUCCCGGCUUAACUGGGAGGGUGCGCCGAAAACUGGAAGGCUUGAGUAUGGGAGAGGUAAGCGGAAUUCCUGGUGUAGCGGUGAAAUGCGUAGAUAUCAGGAGGAACACCUGCGGUGUAGACGGCUUACUGGACCAUAACUGACGCUGAGGCACGAAAGCGUGGGUAGCAAACAGG